rnacentral:rRNA from 1 species
CUACGGGGGGCACCAGUGAGGAAUAUUGCACAAUGGGGGGAACCCUGAUGCAGCAACGCCGCGUGGAGGAUGACGCAUUUCGGUGUGUAAACUCCUUUUAUAUGUCAAGAAAAUGACGGUAGCAUAUGAAUAAGCACCGGCUAACUCCGUGCCAGCAGCCGCGGUAAUACGGAGGGUGCAAGCGUUACUCGGAAUCACUGGGCGUAAAGGACGCGUAGGCGGGUUGGAAAGUCGGGUGUGAAAUCCUACAGCUUAACUGUAGAACUGCACUUGAAACUUCUAAUCUAGAGUAUGGGAGGGGGAGAUGGAAUUAGUGGUGUAGGGGUAAAAUCCGUAGAUAUCACUAGGAAUACCUAAAGCGAAGGCGAUCUUCUGGAACAUUACUGACGCUAAGGCGUGAAAGCGUGGGGAGCAAACAGGAUUAGAUACCCCUGUAGUC